rnacentral:lncRNA from 1 species
CACAGUCAGUCAUGAGUCGCCAUUGGGUUCAGAUGUGGACAUGGACACUGUUUGUCUGCCUGAGUUGGAUAUGUGUGAAUCAAGCAGCGGCAAGGCCGUAAGUUUACUCAAAAUACUUUCAAAUUAAUCAGAUUCAAAUAUUUGUUGCAGCAAGCAGAGUUAAAAGACUUUAUUUUAUUUGCUCCAGUAUAAGAAACUCUGUCAAGAACUUGACCGUACUUAAAUGUUUUUCUCUCUGUGUGUAGGCAGUACAUGGUGGCCAUUCCUGCGAUCAUCGAAGCAGGAACUGAAACACCUCUCUGUGCAAGUCUCUUGAAGCCAAAUGAGACUCUGGUCAUGACCGUCACUUUAAGGUUCGGAGAUCAAAAUAUGACCCUAAUGGAGGAGACGUCCAGCCAGGCAUUUCACACCUGCAUUAAAUUUCAGGUCUGCUGAGUGAUUUUGCAAAUGUCCUCAAAAUUCUUGGAAAACUUGUAGAAGUGGUCGUUAAUUUAGCCUCCAAAUAAUAAAUCAUAGUUCUCUCCAUCAAUAAUCAUAAAGCAACAGUCUGUUGUUGUUAUUAUCAAUAUUGUAAAAACAUCAGUAUCCAAAGAUCAUAGGCUUUGUAAAAUAUUCUGAAAAAAAAAGGUCAAGAUUUUUCGUAAUCAUUGAAAACCUAUAAUGAACUGAAAAUGGUACAAGGACAACAUAUUCAAUGUUGAAACAGAUUUUUGUAGAUUAAAAAAUAUGUUUCUUUUUUAUUUGACAUUUUAGCUGGGGUCAUGUUUACCGUUGUGUUGCAUAACAACCUUUAACAAAACUGUGUAAAUGUUUGGGUACCAACUGACCAGUUACUGGAGUUUUGAAGGUGAAGUUUUUUCCCAUUCUUAGGAUCCCAGCUGCUCAACAGUUUGGCCUCUUUUUUUUCUGUGUAUUUCUGUGUUAUGAUGUGCCAAAUGUUUCAAACAAGUGCGAAGGCGGACUGUUGGCAGGCCAUUUUAUCACCUGGACUCUUUUGCUUUGCCUACGUGACCUGGCAUGUUUUUGCUGCAUUAUGAAAGGUCUCCCCUGAAAAAAAAACAUUGUCUGACAGCAUAUGCUGCUCCACCUUUGCAUCCCCUUACCAUCAGGGCUUCUAGCUUUAGAAGUUAGCUUGUGGUGGUCCAUCUCCUCUUUAGAGUGGAUUAUGCAGUGUCCAUGAUUGAUGGUAUGUUGCUGUUGUCCCAACCUUUUAGGAAUGAAAUGCUGGAAUCAAAUUUGAAAUGAGAGUACGACUAGGUGAUUUGCAAACCAUCCAAACCUGUGAAAGGACGGUCUUUCUCAAAGACCCUUGAGAUAAAGGGGAAUUUCUCUUUCUUUUUUAUAAGCUAGCAUUGAAGUGCCAGAUCAAUGUGGGAUCAGUUUGGAGCAUACAUCUUUGUUUUUGACUGGUUCACAUUUAAAAUACAGGAAGUCAUCAGGAGGUGUUUUGAAUGAGAGUAAGACAGAGCUAUUGUGCUUCACUCAAAAGGAUCUCAAAGUCACUUUGUGCCAAGUCAAAGUAAACACUCUGAAGUAAAAUCAGCAGCUCUAGACACAGUAAUAUUUACUUAAUACUAAAAAGUGACAGUUGCCAGCAGAAACGAGUUUUAGCGUGAGAUGCUUACAAAAGCCCAAAAUCAUAAUUACCCAUGAUAAUAAUUACAGAUAAUUAUUUUUCUAACUGCAUUAAAAUGAUCUUUUGUCCACAGCCCCCUCUUGUGCAGAGUCAAUUUCAGGUGUUGGUGGUGGAGGUUCGAGGACAAACAUUUUACUCAAAAGAUAUCAAAAAAGUCAUGAUCAAAACCUAUAAACCCAGAACAUUCAUCCAAACAGAUAAACCGGUCUACCUCCCGGGACAAACAGGUAAUUUUGACAUGGGUAGUAUUUCAGUCUGUUACAUGUGUUUUUUUAAGAAUCUAUUAAUUUUGAGUAUCUCUUUGGACUGAAUUAAAAUCAACAUUUUUUAAGAUUAGAGUGUAAUUUUUUCUAUAAUCCCAAAAAACAUUAACCCUGUAUUCUAUCUUUGUGUCUUGAUGUGUAUGAAAUGCUCAAGCGGUGACCUCCCCAUGAUUAAAAAAUGAAGCCAUCGUGAAAGUGCAAAAACCUGCAGUUUCUCAGAAGUCCACAAACCAUUAAAUCCCCACUAGAGCCACGAUAAAAUGUUUGGUGUCAAUAAUACAUAUCCCAAUAAAGAGGUUAGAUCAUUGUUCUGAAAUUAUUGUCCUUGUGAUAGGCAUGCUGUGUGUGUGUGGUGUGCUCUCAUUUCCAGAUCUAUAAUCCUAAUGGAGAGUAUUUCAACUCAUUGACUCUACAGGCUCAUUUAUCACCAUGAGCUGCUAGAUUCGUAAUAUUAACCAAUUUUCACAUGUUUUAAAUUAUUAUUCCAAAAGAGAAAUCUUCUUAUGCUUAUUUCCCUUCAUGAUAUACCUCCUUGAUGCCUGUGGAGGUUUGUCAGAGUGGAUAAACUUUAAGAGGUGCAAGUAAUCAUUUUGUAUUCUUCAGUGCAUUUCAGAGUCGUCUCACUGGACAGCAAGUUGAGACCUGCCAAUCUCUUAGUGAGUAUUUUGAAAUCCUUUCCUUCCUUUGAUAAUUUUUUUUUAAUUGGAUGCAGACAGAAUAAAUCUUAGUAUAUUUCAGUGGAUUUAAAUUAGGAGUUAAGUUGCUGCAUUUUCACGUAAUGAGUAUCUUGAUGGCUAUCCAGAAUACAACUGGGCUGUUCUCGAUUUGCCCACUGUGCAAUCUAUUCUUCAAAUAAUGAACCUCAACACAACAGUUUUCUGUUUCUAUAAAAAUAGAGACAAAAAUGUCCUUUAACAUAUUUCUCUACAUUUCCUCUUUUUUCAGUACAAAGUCAUUGAAAUUGCGGUAAGACACACCAUUUAUUUUUCAGUGCAGAUUCAAACUGGUAAAGCUUUCUUUGAGUGCCUUGAAAGAAGAUGAAUUUUUAAACUGAUGAUUUUCAAAAAGUCAAUUUUUCUCAAAUGUGUGGCCCAGUUUCACUUAACAUUUAGGAGGAAAGAGGGUAGCAAAAAUUUAACAUCAGUUUCACCUUUAUGUCAUGCAAACAGGAUUCUCAAGGUAACAGAAUUGGACAGUGGCUGAAAAAAAGCUCAAAUGGCAAAAUAUUGCAGCUGUCUUACUCACUGAACUCAGAGGCUCGUGAAGGAACCUAUAAGGUGGUUGUGCAAAUUGAAGGAGAGAAAAUUGAACACAGUUUUAAGGUGGAGAAAUACGGUAAGUUACUGUAAAUCAUAGAACCUUUCACUGAAAGAUGUUUGCAGUGAAGCAGCACUGUUGAAAAAUGUAACUUCAUUCACAGUUUUGCCAAGAUUUGAAGUAAAAAUUGAAGCUGCUGAGACAAUUAGUAUCGUGCAAGACAUUGAAGCUCAAAUAUGUGCAAAGUAAGUCCAAACUCUGUCACUCCUUCACUCUUGAAUAAUCAAAACUGAAUUAAAACAUUUAAUAACUUUUUUUAGGUAACAGGUGUGAAACAGAGUUCUUAAUUUCUUUUUUUCUGUUAAUCAGUUUCUGAACACUUUCACAUCCUGUACCAUGUUGAAUGUUUACUUCAUGCACCACCUUUAAUUGUACAGUUUAUGUGUCUUUACCCUUCCCAGCAUUUUCUUAGCUGUUGUCUCUUUUGUCCUUUUCCCACCAUUAAGACCUGACAGACCACAAAACAACAGGACUUCUUUCUGUGCAUUGAUAUGAUUGCAGCUGGUUUAUCAGUCUUUGAUUUGAGCUGUCUUUGUGGCUUGAAGAUACAAGCUGCUACCAAUCCCCAAAAACUUCAUGUUUGACCAACAUUUUGUUUUCUUUACCCAUGUAGGUAUACAUAUGGACAGCCUGUGCUGGGAAAUGUUACAAUUGAGUUACAAAGACCUCUUAGUGACUAUCAAAGAUUCCGUUCAUCAAUUUCUGAUCCAACUGCUCCAGUCCACAAGGAGAUGAAACAGGUACAGCUGCUCUUCUUUCUGCUGGAGAAAGAGGUUAAACCUAAGACUGGUCACCAUUUAGCAACAAAGACCACCUUUUAGGGCUGUUUAAAUAUUGCUUUGACAUUAUUUUUGACCACACUUAAAACAGAUAGUUCACUUGACUUAUCAUUGGAGUCAACUGAACUCUGGUCAUCUUUGAGCCAAGAGUUCAGCAGCUCCAACAUGGUGCACCUCAUCAUCAAACUCAUGGUUUUCAGUUGCCUGUUUCUUCCAACUUUUAACUAAGAAUUACUGUUGUUGUGCUUCUGCCUCUCCUUACUCUUGCACUCAGCAUAUGCAGAUGGUGGAUAUAUGGAUAUAGAUGGAUACAGUUAUAGGUCUGAUGCUCUUAUUAAUAUGAGCCAGAUGUGAGUGCUGCAGGAAACAAUAAUAUUGUUAUUCCCUUUCAGUCAAUUCACUUGGUACAACACAUAACCACGCCCCUCUGUGGCCUGACUGAAGACACCUUUAUUCUCGCCUUUACGGCAGAUGAUCUGUAGUGACUUCUGUGAGGCCCUGCCUGCACAUAUAUACGUCCAACACAUAGACUGUAUAUAAGAUGGACACCGUGGUUCCGCCUUCUGCCUCCAUACGGCUUUGAAGCCAAAAAGCUCUCAGUAAUUCCGGGUUUUUCUCCGCUUCCUUGAAACCAGAGCUGUGCAGCAUUGUGCGCAUUCGGCCGCGCAGUCGCCGAGAGUCCCUGUGAUGACGCUCGGUUCAAACAGCGUAUCCCCUCGGGAGAGCUACGGAAUCCCUGAACGCCCAUAGGCUGUACCAGGUGUCAAUCAUUGAAAACAUGAACCCCCUAAUAACUUUUAAAAACGGGGCUGUACAGAAAAAAAAGCACUUGGGCACAAACCAGUCUUACUGUAACUAUAUGUCAACAUCACAACCAGGGGGGAGAAAAAAUUAUGUUCUGUGUAAUAAAUUUCUAAAGUUUGUCCACAGUCCCAUAAGCUUUGCUGGUGGAGGCGGGAUUUAUGACCUGUACUGCAGCCCACCAUCAGAGGGUGCUGUUCUCGGAGUGGCUUCACCCAGCGAGGCGGCAGACUCUGUCCAUCUAAUAUACAGUCUAUGGUCCAACACCACAGUCAUCCUUCACUUCUUAUGCUCCUUACCUCGAUGAGAAUACCUCCACCGAGUCUGGCUAACUAGCUGCUGUUUGUAAGCUUGGUCUUGAUAGUUGCUACUGCUGGUUCAAAGUUAUCACAAGUGUCCCUGUUGGUGUUAGCCGCUGGAUACCCACAGAGUACUAACUUCAUUCACUUCAGUUUUUGUGUCUCAGAGCCCAGGAAAGUGAAGAGGAAGUCUUUUGUUUGGCCAUGUCUUCAGGAAAGCAUAGACUGAGCCUGAGUCGUGUGAGUCCUGUCACCAGCUUCAGAGCUCAACCCUGGAAAGGUGGGUCAAGCUUGUGGAAAGAGAGCGUUAGGGAAUACCACUAUUACACUGCAUGACCCCCUCCUCUCUGAGUCCAGGCAACCGGCUUUGUCCGAGUCCGGUGGCAAAACUUCAUGGUCAAAGGCUUAGUUGGAAGGUAGGCAGACCAUAUGGAGUGUGCUGAUGGGUCAGCUGGAUUUGAGCCGGGCCCUCUGAGGGCGCUGGCCAGCUGCUCUCUGGGCUAGCCUGUUACCAGGAGGAGGAUGACGUGCUGGACAUCAGCCUGGAUGUGCAGAGUUUUUCGGAGGAUGUGCAGGAGCUACUGUCUCCAGGUACACCGCCACUGCUGGGCCGGUUGACCUAGACAACACAUCCUUCUUUUCACUGUACCGCCGUGCAGCUGGGUUUUAUCUUCCACUUGGGCUGAAGACUGUUAAGAACAGCCUUCCCAUGUUCCCGGAUUUUGUCAUGGACCUAGCAUCGACAUGGAACAAGCUGCUGUCCACCCGUGCCACAGUGGACAGUUUUUGGACCUGGAUGGAGCUGAAAAAGCUGGUUUGGUUAACCCUCUGCCUAUGGAGGUGUCCCUGGCAGCCUAUCUGGCCUGGAACUGAACUAUGAUGUUGGUGGCCCAAUCACACUCCUGUCCAAGCACUGCAGGUUCUCCGCGUCAAAGCUGGAGAAGAUAUACAGGACUCAGGGAAGUACGUCUUGUGCACUGAGGUCCGUCACCAUGCUUCAGACAUGCUAUCCCAUCUCCUUAACGAGGUUAGUGACACCACGGAUUAAAUCCCCUGAGUGUUCCGCUGUGCAGUGCUCUCUCUGGGUAGAGGCACGGCUUUCCGGCACUGCAUCAGCUACCCUUUUGGCUCUGAAGCAUUUUAAUCCCGUUCUGACAGGCUAUCAAGUUCUGAUCAGGACUGAUGACACGACUGUGGUUUCCUACAUAAACAAGCAGGGAGGGACACGCUCUCUUCCCCUGUUAAAACUGUCUCACUCUCUUUUGCUAUGGUGCAGUGCUCAUUUUCUGUUUCUCAGAGCCACACAUAUUCCAGGUCACUUAAACCUUGGGCUGGAUCUUCUCUCCAGGGGAGGGCCUCUUGUGAGACAGUGGAGAUUGCACUCACUAGUGGUGGCUCCGAUGUGGGACCGCUUCGGCAGGGCAGAAGUAGAUCUUUUUACCUCCAGAGCAAACACCCAUUGCCCCCUGUUCUUUUCCAUAUCAGACUGCAAUGCUCCCUUGGAAAUGGAUGCAUUAGCUCACACAUGGCCUAACAUGGUGCUAUAUGCAUUUUCCCCAGUGGAAAUGAAUGUCUGUUCUGGAGAGGGUGUGCCAGCAGGGGCUCUCCCUGAUUCUGGGUUCCCUGAGAUGAUCAGUCUGCUGGCAGCAAGACCCUGGAAGCUCCCUCUUUGAAGGGACCUCCUCUCCCAGGUGGGAGGAGAGGUGAUUCACCUGCGCCCAGAACUGUAGUGACUACAUGCCUAUCUGUUGAGAGGUCCAACCUAAUCGCUCAGGGUCUGACCCCAACUGUGGUGGCAACAAUCCAGACUGCAAGGAUAUCAUUUACUAGGGGCCUAUUUGCCUUCAAAUGGUGGAUGUUUGAGCAGUGGUGUCAGGACCGAACUGUACCCCCAUUCUAGUGUUCUGUUGUGGAUGUUUUAACAUUUCUUCAGGAGCUGCUGGAUAAGAGUCUCUCUUUCUAAACAAUUAAGGUCUAUUUGGCGGCUAUAUCUGCAUGCCAUGUUGGCUUUGAUGGUUUGACGCCAGGCCUCUUGCUAUGGGCUUCCUAAAGGAAGUCAGCAGGCUUGAACCUGUGGUUAAACCCAGCAUUCCCUCAUGGGGUUUGCCGCUGGUGCUUGAGGCUCUUGGUGGACCCCCAUUUGAGCCUAAUGAGUCCACAGACAUGAAAUUACUUUCAUGCAAGACAGCGCUGCCACUGCUACUCUGACAUCUGCAAAGCAAGUGGGCGACCUUCAUGCAUUGUCUGUACAUCCCCCUUGUAUCCAGUUCACUCUGGAUGGAGCUAAGGUAACAUUGCGCCCAAAUGCGGCAUAAUUGCCUAAAAUUAUCCCCACAGUCUAUAGUUCUAUCAGUUUUUCUCUUUUAAGCUUUUGUCCCCUCUAUUUACAUCUGACAAGCAGAGGAGGUUGCAUCCUUUGUGCCCUGUGCGUGCACUACGCAAUUACAUAGACCGCACUCAGAGUGUGCGCUUAUGUGACCAGUUGUUUGUCUGUUUUGCUAAUCCAGCCAAGGGCAAGGCGCUGUCUAAACAGCAGCUUUCCCACUGGAUUGUGGAGGCUAUCUACCUAGCAUACAGCAGUAGGGGUCUUCCGUUGCCCCAAGGUGUGAGGGCACAUUCAGCCAGGGGCAUGGCGGCCUUAUGGGCCUUGUUUAAAGGGGUUUCUCUGAGAGAUAUCUGCACUGCAGCCAGUUGGUCAUCACUGCAAACUUUUGUUUGGUUUUAUUGUUUGGAUGUGACAGCCCCUUCAGUGGCUUACUCUGUCCUUUCUGCUGGGUCUGCGAUGCACCAAAGUUUUGGAGGUUUGACUCCGGUUCGGUGGCUGCUCUGCGAGGUGUGUAUGUAUGUCCCAUACUAUAUGUCAGGGGUCUUCAUAUAAAUUUUCAGUGGGUCCACCUGAAUGAAAUGCCUGCAGGCCUGGGUCCAGGGAUUUUUAUUUAUUUAUUUUUUUACAGUGCAUUACUCUUUUGAAAUAUUCACUUCAUUUGUAUUGCCAAUAACUGCCUACUUUCAAUUGGCUGUGUGCUUCCUGCGGGUAAAAUGAAUGCAAACGACUCUGUCCACUCGCCAUAAAACACCCUGUUCUCAUUCUCUACCUUUCGUGGUUUUUAAGCCGACAUGUUUAGCUGCUGCUACAACUUUCUCCUCAGUCUGCCGCCUGACAGUUUUCAACAUCGGGAUUGCUCGGUAAUCUUCGUGUGUCGAGUAGGCUAAAAGGUCUGAUUUGAUUGACAAGUCAAGCGAGUAAGCAAGUGAUGUAAUGCCUUGCUGAAAUUGCACGUGCAGUUUACUGAACCAGGCACAAAGCAAGAGAGUAAGGCUGCACGAUAUUGGAAAAAACUAACAUUGCGAUUUUUUUCAACCCUGCGAUAUAUAUUGCGAUAUUAAAAAUAUAGGAAUUUUCACCAGAUGACCUAAAUAGCAUUUAAUGUUAUACUGCACUGCUGAAGUCUUGAGGACAGUUAACCUGCACUGAUCUUACCUCUUUUUGUGGAUGUUAGAAUGGCUUCUGUCUGUCUCAGAGACAUUUUUAGCUUUUAUUGUGCUGGGAGUUAUUGUGGCGACAGAUGAACACAGAACACGUGUUUUGGUCGACAUCAUCCUUCUUUUAACCGAAAUAAUUCCAGAUAAUUGACUUUCCUUUUCUUUUUGGCAACAAAACUUAAUUUUCGGUGGUUUUCUCUUGUUCGUUGCUCAUUUUGCAAUCGUUGUUGUUGUUGUUAGCGGUGUUGUGCCGAGAAACGCAUGUCCUCCGAGAAUUGCAUGCAUCUCGCAAAACGCGCACCGCUUAUAGUAGAGUGGUCCACGGAAAUGUACAAUUUAAAACCCAUACAGUUCUUAUUUGUUGGGCUUAACAGUCAGUAAAGUUCCGAAAGUAAUUCUCAGCGGACACGCGUCUCACUCCAUGUGCAGAACAUGUGCAGGGGUGGGUUUCCUCCUCUCUGAUUUUGAUUGACAGCUGGCAGGGUAGUCUGAUUGGCAACUGAGAACUGAGUCUGAUUGGCAACUGAGUAAAGGACAAAGGUGAUUGGUGGAUCGCUGCACAGCACAUGCAGAGUCACAUGCAGUGUAUCUCAGUCAGCUACCCUUGAAAUUAACUGAGUUCAUUCACUUCCGACAUCGUAGGCUCUGCGAUGUGACUAUCGCACACACGUACAUCGUGCAGGCCUGCAAGAGAGAAAAAAACAUACAUUUUUCUGCGGUAGGCUCGGGUCCGUAUUGGACUCUUUCCCGGUCCGGAAGUGGACCGCGGUCCGCCAUAUGGAGACCACUGCUAUAUGUGUUGUGUUGAGUGAAUGGACUGAAAGGGAACGAAAUGUUAUGAAUAUAACUUCUGUUCCCUGAAGGAGAGGAACAAGGUACAACACUGGGUUGCGUCACCACUGAUCAUCUGCCGCAAAAAAAGGAAUAAAGGUGUCUUCAGUCAGGAAAUGCGGGGGCGUGAUAUCCCAUACUAUAUGUGUUGUACCUCGUUCCACUCCUUCAGGCAAAAGAAGUUAUAUUCAUAACAUUUUGUUAAAGCUUACUGUAUAGCCUGGAUUUGAUUUUAAUUUAUUUCAUCUAAUUGAACUUUCCAGACAGAUAAAAGUGGCUGUACUACCUUUGUCGUCAAGAUGUCCACUUUCACAAAACUUGACAAUACACUUGUGAAAGAUGCUCUGCAGCUCAAGGCCAGUGUGGAAGAAGAGGGGACAGGCAAGUCUUACUUUUACCUUUUUAAAAGGACAGUCAUGUCAUUGGAGAGGUACAAGUAUGAUAUAAUCCAAACUGAGCAGGUGGUUAUGCACAAAAGAAUCCAGACAAAGUGAGCAGGGAUCGAAUUCUGAUUUGCACAACCUGAUUUACAUAACCAUUCACUUAAUCCUGUGUGUUUCGUGCAGGUAUUUCACACCUAAAUCACAAGAAGAUGGAGAUAUCCUAUGUCAUUGGAAAGUUUAUCUUUAUUGAGGCCCCCAAGAUUUAUGAGCGAGGAUCAAACGUAGAGGGAAAAGUAAGUUCCAGCGCUCACCACUUUCUAAUUAGAUCCUUCACACAUUUCUACCUUGAGCUCUUUGUCAUUAAACUUUGUGCUGUUUACAGGUCAAAGCAGUUAAUUAUGAUAACACACCUAUCCCCAACAAACCGGUGUACCUGCUUAAUAGUCUACGGUCCACAGAUGUGCUGCAGAAUGUAACUACUGACAACGAGGGUAUUGCCACUUUCUCGAUUAGCACAGCUGAGUUUCAUGGGGAUAUCGACCUUGUGGUAAGUGGAAAUGGAGACUUCUUCAUGUAUUUGUUUCUCUGGGUUUAUAGCUCUGAAAAACUGCUGCUGUAAAUCCACAAUCCACAGUUACCCUGUCAACAGAUUCUAUGAUGUACAAAUUACUGAUAUAUUGUGAAAUUGAUUUUUAUUUUUUCAUCUUGGUUUAACUUAAUUUUCAGCGCUAAAUGCCUGAGACUAUCUGGCAGACACAGUUAUUUCUGUGAUAUUACAGUUAUUACAGCUCAGUCUUCCCCUUUUAUAGCCAACACAGACUAUUUUUACCAUGUAAACAUAUUGGGUCUCAUUUGUGUUUCUAAGCACAACUAAAUCUUUGCAAACCAUGUCCAAAUUCUUGUUUUCAGUCCAUUUUGACUAACACUGAGAUCAGUGUUUGGGUUGAAGUUUCUUCAAAUUAUCUAAAUUAACUGGUAGAGUUAAACUGUCUGGAGAUUGAUAUCCUUGUUUCCAUGCUUAUUUUUUGGCUUGUUUUUCAUUCAUUCAAUAUUUAGAGGGACCUCAUACAGCGCCACUUUAAAAAGACUAAACUGUCCCUUUGAAUAUUAAUGCAAGCUAAGCAGAGACAUGCUACUAUUUGAAGUUUUUACUUCUUUAUCCAGGCAAGCGACCAACCUGUGUUUAAGCCUGAAGGGUAUCGAUCUCCGGUUUUUCAAUCUGGAAGGCACAAAGUGUCGUUGGCCAAACCUUUAACUCCAGAUGUUAAAACAAUCAGCUCCCUGGAGGUGCAGAAGAAGGAUAAACCAUUUGCCUGUAACACAGUGGAGGACAUUUACAUCAAGUUUUUUAUCAUUGGUGAAGUCCAGGGCACUGCAGACGUGAUGUAUCUGGUAUGUAAGCUAUUUAUCAGUGCAGUAACUUUUAAAAACAGACAAACAAAAAAUACUGUGCUUUCAAAGCUAGGAGGUGCUACUGUUCUUCUGUGUCAUUAAAUUGGGCAGGUCUUAUCCAGAGGAGCUAUUGUGAUGCAAGGAAUUGAGCAGAUUGAAGUCCAGGAUAAACUAAGUAGGAGGAAAUUCUCUUUUAUUGUGCAGUCAUAAAUUAAUGUGAAACUAUGAACCAACUUUAGCAUGCAUGCUUUGAACUACAUGAAUCAGCUAUAAGCUGUUUUGUAAUAUGUUUAAAUUGUUUUCCUGUUUCAGUGACUGAGGGUCAGAUGUCCUUUAAGUUAGCAGUGUCUCCAGAUAUGACCCCAGAGGUUCAAGUUGUGGCGUACACCGUUCUCCCCAGUGAGACGGUGAUUGCCCACAGCGCUGCGUUCACCACCGAGAAAUGCUUCAGUCACAAGGUCAGUGUGCAGGCUGAUGUAGGUGUUAGGGGAUGUAAUGGUAGAGGUCAAUACAAUGUUGUGUCACAUUAACGGUACUUGUUUUCUGUGUGUUAGGUGUCACUGGAGUUUUCCCCAUCUUCAGCAGUCCCAGGAGAGGCCAACACUCUGCAGGUGACCACCCAUCCAGGCUCUCUGUGCGGCCUGAGUGCUGUCGACCAGAGCGUUCUCAUCAAGGAGCCCGGGAAAACUUUGGACACAGACAAGGUAAAGACUGAAAUCAACCAGAUGCCUUUUGGUCUUCUUUUAGGACCAGGCAACAUCAGAACAGAUGGAAACCUCUUUGAUUCUUACAAAGCCAUGGUUGGCUUAAGGCAGCCAUCCACUGCACCCUGCUAUUUGCUUUUUGACAGCAGGAACUUUUCCCAUAGGAACCCCUUUGAAGAAUUCAACCUAUUUUGACUGCAGAAACAGAGUCUAAAUACUGACUUUGAUCCACCCCUCAAAAAGUCCCUGCCUCAGGGAGGGUAUAAUGAGUGUUGUUUCACAUAAGACAUGUAAAAUCACUUUAUCCCACCUUGUGUGGAAGUUUAAAGUUAUCCCUUCCUCCCCUACCCAUCCUGAAAACUCUCAUAAAUUAGAUUUUUUAUCAAGAGAGAAAAAGAGGAAGGCAUGGAGAGCCACACAAGGUUCCCACACAAGAAUACAGUGUUCAAAGAGACACAAACAAUCAACAAUAGUACAUGGAGACGUAUAAAAUUUAGAAGAUACCCUGUUUACAUCCUUGCAUAUUUACUGAGUCCUCAGGUACCAGAUCAAGAAAAGAAAAACGUGUAGAUUCAGGCCUGGUAUAUACAUACCCGGUUAUUUUUAAAACAGAGACAUAAACCAUCAUUUGCACCCUUCGUUUAGAGCCAAACAGAGAAUUUGCACCGAAAAAUGAUGCUUUAUAAAAACUCUGGCCAAAGUGGAGAUUUCAGAAAACUCUGUUUGCACAUUUGCAUGUAAACAGAGAAAAACAGAGAUCUGGGUAACCGACGGCAGAUUAUGUGCAGGAAAGAAGGAAGGGACGUUGUUGCUGCUAUGCAAGAUUCUGAUUGGCUAACGUGGGCUUGAGCUUCUCACUACACUGCUACCCACAUGUUUGAUAUGCUCUUGACGGCAUAUAUACAUGGGUUAGUGUAAAUGAAAACUUUUCUGAAAAAGUAGUGGUGUGCUUUCUUUUUUUUUUUCUUUUUUUUGUAAACAGAGAGGGUGAAAUGUUUAUGAAAAUAGCCAGUCGUAGUCUCAUGCACAUGCAUUCGCGGUCGGCACACACAGAUUGUUAUCCAUACUCAGGGAUUUUUGACGUAAUUAUUUUUUCAUUUACCAUGUUGCUUCGGGGAUGUAAACAUAUAUAUUUUAACUAGAACUCUAACCUAUCAAUCGAGGACAGGGUAACCCACUGAAGCUGUGGUUGUUCACUCCACAGACCUGCCACACUCUCAGCUUGAGCUCCUUAUAUACCCACUACAGACUAAGACUGAUUCUGGGUGGAAAUUUGACUGAGUAGUAGCUAUCAGGAGAGUACAGUCACUCCUUAAUCAAUUGACAUUCAUAAAGUUAUUCAUGCCACUUCAAUCAAAUCCAGGGUUUUCCACAGUGUUCAUGAAUCAGGAGUAAAGUUUUUUUUUAUUACCAAUGAUGUUUAUGUGUAAGUCUACGCAUACAUUUACCAACAUGUUACGAAUGAAACCCAUUAAUAGUACAGACUGUGGGUCCUAUGACUAAACUUUGUGGCACGCCUAUUGUAAUGUUGACAAAACUGGAGCACAGGCCACUGAGCUGCACAUACUGAAUGUAGUUAAGCCAGUCAAUGGAUUGGUCUGAGAGGCCUUUACCUCACAAUCUGUGACAUUAAAUGUCACUGUUAACAGUACCAAAUGCCUUGGAGCCAUUGAUGGAAAGUGCUGCGUGAUAAUUUUGAUAGUAAGCUAGAAGUAACUGCACAGCAGCAUUGCAUUGUGGGAGAGGCAAAAUUGUCCAAACUAGGUAAAGGAGCCCACAUAUUACACACAUUAAUGUGCUGAGAGGGUGAAGGUUGCUUUGCACACUUAUCAAAUCCUUGAUACAAAAGGAAAUUGGACAACUUUGUAAUAUUUAUAUUUCAAACUGAUCGGGGGAAAAAAUGAAAACUAUCUAAUUGAAUUGUCUGAUAUUUCAAGUGGAAAACCACAUCACACCACUUUUUUAGCUGACAUUCGACAGUAGCUAACAAUAGUUUCCUUAUGCUCUCUAGCAUUAGCUCAGAUUUAAACACCAGAGGCUGCUGGUGUUUGCUUACCAUCCAGGUAGGUUUGCAAAGGACCCGAACCACUCCACUGACUCCCUCUGACAGGAAAAAUAUUUCUCCUGAAGGAAACUCCUUUUUGCUGCUCCAGGAUUGUAACCAUCCCUUUCUUUUCAGAUAUUCAAUCUGUUGCCUGUUAAAAAAGCUUCUCCUAUUCCACACGAAGUUGAAGAGGAUCAAGGAUGCUUCCAGAUGAGAUAUAGAAGAUCAAUUUGGCCGUACCCACGCCGUGCCUCUGAUGAUGCAUACAACGUUUUCAAGGUAGUUUUUACACUAUAUUUCAGUGCUAAAAUUUUAUUUGUUUCAUAAACCUUCACUCUUUUUUGUUUUUGCUCAAUUAUCCAGAAUGUUGGAUUGAAAAUGGCGACCAAUUUGUUCAUUAGAACACCUACCUGCAUCAGAUUCAGAGGAGAGGAGUUCCACCGCGGCUAUGAUGGUAAGCUUUCACAUGUCAGUACUCCUUAGUAUGAGAUACCAACUUUUGUAACUGGUGCACAGGACCAGUCUUUAGAGCUGUCAUAACUUAUAGCUCCAAGUGGCACGUAAGGAUGCACCUCAGGCGUCAGCUCUGCAUGUGCACUCAGUCUCUGAUGAUGGUUUCUUGUAGGUUGUCUUUUCUCAAAUCUGGAGACGUUUUUAAUUUCUGAUAAAAUAUUUUGUGGUUUCUUUACAGGUCCUGUUUUCCGUCAUACAAAUAGUCCAAGGUGGGGGAUGAGAUUAAACAGUUCUCCUCGAGUGAUGAUGAAAUCAAGAGUGUUAGGAGCUGCACCAGAAGCUGCACCUGUAGAGACAGUCCGCAGUUUUUUCCCUGAGACUUGGAUAUGGGACCUGGUGGAUGUUGGGUAGGUUUCCAUCACUUGACGGCAAACUGUAUCAGAGAUUUUCUAACUUUUGUACAUGAUUGUAUGAUGUAUGAUUUUCCAGUAAGAUGUUUUUGCCCUAUUUAACACUGCACUCAUUGUAAAACAGCUGAGUUCUUCUCUGUAUAAAAUGUUAGAAUCGCCCCUUGAAUGUGAAGAUAAGUGGUACAUUUCUGGUAUGAAAUUUUUGUUUCUGAGGUCCCUGCUCCUCCAGCUCUAAGAAGAGGCAUGUGUGUUUCUGCUCAUUCAGAGAGACUGGAACAAUAGAUGUGCCCCUCACCGUCCCUGACACCAUCACCACCUGGGAGACGGAGGCUUUCUGUUUGUCUCCUCAAGGUUUCGGCUUGGCUCCUCGUAAAGAGUUCACUGUCUUCCAGCCCUUCUUCCUGGAGCUCAGCCUGCCUUACUCCAUAAUCCGAGGGGAGACUUUUGAGCUGAAGGCGACUGUCUUUAACUACAUGAGCAGCUGCAUCAUGGUAAUUAAUGCCGGAAAUAAAGUUUAUAAAAAUUAAAGUAAAACUGCGUGUCUUAAAAAAAUAAAAUCCAGUAAAGCUAAAACAAAACAAGGCUCUUCAGAUAUAUGUGUAAAAUAAAGAAGUUCAUCACCCCUGUGUGGUAGAGGAGAUGAUAAUGGAAAAGUCUUCUUUUGUGCUGCUGUAACAACUUGCUUGUAAUUUUUUCCCCAGAACGGCAUCGAUCAGACUGUUUUAUUAAAUUCUGUUAUUGAGGUGUCUUUUCAGAUGAAGAGCUCUUCAAAGCUUUAAAAAUAGUCUGUUUUAAACUCUUUUAUCUUGAUGACUUUUUACAAUUAAUUUAUAAAAUAUGAAUUUGUCUCUUUUGAACAGGUUACCGUGACUCCAACCCCAUCUUUGGAUUACACCCUCACCCCCCUCUCUGGUGACCAGUACACAUCGUGUUUGUGUGGCAAUGAGCGCAAGACCCUCAGCUGGAACAUGGACCCCUCAGCUUUAGGUGAGGGUCAGGCUUUUGUUCCCACCUGUGUUGACAAGUUAAAGAUUGAAAAUAGGGCCGUUUAAAUAUGGCAGCGAGAGGGCAAUAAAACAAUGGAGAUGAAAAGGCCCAGAGAGUUGCUAUAAUGGCUAUGAUUUGUUCUUAACGGAUCUGAGCUGUAAAAACAAAUAAUGACUGGAACAAAUAUUUCAUCUACAUUGCCUUUUUGUUAUUAUUGCUAAAACAGUGUGUCACGCAAUAACAUGUCCUGCCCAAAACAGGCCAAUGAAAGCACCAUUUUAAAAAAAAGUGACCGUAAACCAAAGCAGAAACAAAACACAGAAAGGGGUCCACUGAAUGGAUUGUGGGCAUUAGUAAGCAGUUAAAAUGUGCAUUUAUUCUCGCUAACUGAUAUGUCUUAGAUCCAAUUCAUACAGCAUGUUAAAAAAACCUUCGCACUAUCUGUGUAUGACUGUGAAUGAGUUUCAUUGGCAAAGAAAGGGGCUGAUUUGGGCCCAAAUUAAUCAUUCAUGGAUUUACAUAAAUUUUUGUGCAGACAAUAUUGACAUGCUGUUUACUUUGAACUCUUCAUGUAUGCUUUGUUAUUUACAUGCUGUCUCUGUAACCCUUUCCUGAAUCAGGACAAUAGAUUGCACAUAAUAACAAAUGUAUAUCAUCCUAACAUCUCAUUGAGGCUUUACAAACCAAACUAUUACUACAACAUCUACAGCAUAGAUUUUUGUUUUUUUUGCUUUGUAAAAGAUACAUUCUUUUUAUACCAGUAAAAUCCAACAGUGAGAUGUAAAGACUAAAGAGGAGUUUGUUUUUUGUAUUUUUAGGUGUUAUGAAUGUGACUGUGAGCGCCGAGGCUGUGGCGUCCCACGCUUCCUGUGACAAUGAGAUUGUGAGCGUCCCAGAGAGAGGUCGCAUCGAUGUGGUCACCAAAUCCCUCAUAGUAAAGGUUAGCACCUUGAAACUUUAUUCCAUAUAAAAGAAGGAGACAGCUCUUAAACAUGAAACCAAAUCCUCUAUGGCUCCCUGAAUGACUGGCUGCAGUUAAGGUCAUAAGAUACAUGUCAACAGUUUUCAUUUUAAAAAGGUUUUCUGUCAUUAUAGUUAGGUGAUUGACAGCUUUGUCGACAAAUGAGGCUGCUGUAGAGCUCUAUAUCCAGGAUCAGUCGGGGACUGAGGAGGAACAGAGAGAGGAAGCAUAACAAAAAGCUAGAUCUGCAUUCAGGGUGGCAAAAAUCUAUUUAGACCUUGCCUUGACUUGCCAGCAGAAAUUAUUUUAUUUAACUUGGAUCAGCUCUUCUUUUAAGGGUAACAGUUUUAUCCACAGCAUUUUGUCAAAAACAGGAACUCUGAUACAAACAUUGUUUUCUCGGCCCUCAGGCUGAAGGAACCGAAGUGACAAAAACCCACAACUGGCUGCUUUGUCCAAAAGGUCUGUGUGGUUUGUAAAAAGAUCAUCAACAUCCCAAUCUUAUCAUGUCAUUGUAAAUUAAGAUCUUUAAGUACUGAGUUUUUCAGUUUAUCUCAAUGAAGGUUUUGUUCUCUGUCAACAGAUGAGGCUUUGACAGAGGAAGUAGACAUACAGCUCCCUGAUAAUGUGAUUGAAGGAUCUGCGCGUGCGCUUGUUUCUGUCCUGGGUAAAGGGAUGUCUCUCAUUUGAGUGAUCUACUAGUGCUCGAGUGGUGCUUCUUUUCAACAUGGGAUGCCUUCCUGAAGAGACAGUAGAAAACUGUGUUUUUGUGCAGGUGAUAUCCUGGGUCGAGCUCUGAAGAACCUGGAUGGGCUUCUGCAAAUGCCAUAUGGAUGCGGAGAGCAGAACAUGGCCCUUCUGGCCCCCAACAUCUACAUCCUCCAAUACCUGAAAAACACCCAGCAACUGACCCCAAAAAUCAUGGAGAAGGCUUCUAACUUCCUGACCAGUGGUGUGUGUCUGCAGUUUUAAUAUCGUAGACAAACAAAAUAAGAAACUCCACCAACCAAGAUAAAACUGAUAGUACUAUGACUUCAACUUUUUCACCUCUGUGCUUCCCUUCAGCCAAUAUUAAACUCAUUCAUAGCAACAAAGUUUAUGUAAAAAUGCAGAAUCUACAUUACCACACCUGGACCUCAGUAAAAUCUGAUCCGAUGUGUAAAUGUUUAAGUGAUAAUAGCAGGUAUUUCUUCCUCUGUCACAGGCUACCAGAGACAGCUGAACUACAAGCACAGUGAAGGUGCUUACAGCACGUUUGGAACGGGAUCAGGAAACACCUGGUGAAAAUAUUUCUGAAUCAUAAUUGGAUGUUUGCUUAAAUAAUACACUGAUGUUUCUGCAUAAGUUUAAAGGCUUGUAUUUUGUGCUGACUGUCAGAGUAUUUGAAAUAUGACCACUUAUGUAAUCCUGGAUAUGAGUAAAGUCAGGGGGUAGUCCAGUGAUCCCUCAGGGGUGUUAUGUUGGUUUCAAAGAGACAUUUUCUCGACAGUUUAAUGACUGAUGUGUCUGUUAGAGUUUUUUUAAGUUUUCUGACAGUUAGGCCACAAAGUUAAACUCAGUCCAUAUAUGGAAGCUGAUCUCAGGGUCAGCCCAUAUCAACUUAGAGCUCUGUCAUUUAUCUUUUACACAUCAAAACAGGAGUUCUUUAUUAACUGCUUUAGCCUGCCGACUCCUUUGCAGACCACUCUGUCAAAUGUAUUUUCACUGUUGUCUGUCAUGCACAUAAUAUAAAGGGAGGUGUGCUCUCCCAUCAUCAGGCUUUGGCAUUCAACAUACUCAUGACGAGGAGGAGAGAAAACCCCAGGAGCAGCUUUAACUGCCAGAUAAAACUUGAAUGCCAAACAAUAUUGUGUCUAAUGUGGCCCUGACUAGAAACAAAAUUGGGAAGAAUUUAUUGGAUAUAAACUGAAUUUGAAGUUUGACCCUGUUAACUUGGAGGAGAUAAGCUUCAUGAUCUGUCAUGCAGCUUGUCAGUAGGCUUAACUUUUGGGGAGCCGUCAUUCCAUUGAUAUUUUUGUACACUGUUAUGAUACAGGCUGAAAUGAAGCUGAAAUGAACGGGUGGAUAGAUAGAAGAAGUGAUUAAUAUGAAAUAAUGAACACUUCUUAACCAAUCAAAAACAAGUAUUCAUCCAGACCAUGUGAUUCUGUGUUUGUUAUCCUCAGGCUGACGGCUUUUGUGUUGAGAUCUUUUGCCAGAGCUCAGAAUUUUGUCUUCAUUGACCCAAGACACAUCAGACAGUCAACAUCCUGGCUGAAAAAUCAGCAACGGGAAACCGGCUGCUUUGUAAAGUCUGGGAAACUUUUCAACAACAGAAUGAAGGUAAUAUUGUGUUGUUGUUUUUUGUUUUCAUCUUUUAAACUGAACUUUUUGCACUAAUUUAACUGAACUUUGUCCACCACACCUUCACACUCACUUUUUCUUUGUGUGCUAAUAAAUUUUUCAUGUACACAGGUGAAAUGAAUGAAUGAACAAGUGGAGAUGUCUCGUGUUGGAGGGCUGAUAUUUCUAAUUUUUUUUUAUCUUUUUGGAGUGAAAUAAUCCAAUGCAUAGUUAAAGGCAUACCUAAUCUUCUUUAUAUUUCUGAACACCUUUUUUUUUUUACAUAGUAAUAUUCAUUAACAGUAUAAAUUGCUACAUAUCUUGUCAAUUAUGUGUUCGCUAGUGCAGUUAUAAUCUUUGGUUACCAAAUUUUCGUGUGGUGUCAUUGACACUGAUGUUUUGUGAAAAAAACAUCAGAGAUGCUAUGCUACAAGCAGCAAAUACAAACUAUGUAGGCUGGAUCCUCGGUCGCGUUCCUAUGCUCACCUGUUUUGUUGGGAACCCUUCUGCAUCAUCAGCAGGUAUCUCAGGGUUGCAGAUUUUUCACCCCUUAACCAGUGCACCUUGCCUGAGUGGGGCUGCGGAGGCUGGUUAGCCAUUGCCUGCAGAAGGGUUCCAACUUUGGGCCCUCUUCGGCCACAACCAUCUCGAGCUGGAUUCUGCCAUUGUGGCUAUGUCCCUGGUGACUUUCUUCAGCUGUUUGGGCUCCAAACCAAUUCUCUGGAGGAAGUAGCACACCUAUUUUGCUGGGAACCCACGGCAGCCGACCUCAAUGGGGAAAAUGGUUUCAUGCCACCCUUUUUAGAGCUGCCUUAUCAAUCAGGUCUUGGUACUUGGCUUUUUUCAGAUGGUGGGAUGUGGCUAGCCUCUCCUCCCAGGGCAAGGGUAAGUUCUGCCACUAUGAUGGUUUUAGUGCUCUUGGAUAGGAGGACCAGAUCUUGUAGGAGGGAUGUUGCCACUACAUCUUGAGGGAAGAUGAGUUUCCUCUUCAGGUCCAUGUUCAACUCCCAGCCAGAGGCUUUCUGCAGGAUGAAAGGUAGGUUUUUAGCUGUUGUUCUGCUCUUAGGGGCCUUGCCACCCUCCCUCAGGAAUCCUAUGGCAUUGGGUGGUUGGGUGUGGUUGUUGUUCGCCUUAGUCCUCUGCUGCUACGUUCACUUGGCAAUCUCCAUGAGGACCUUGUCAUGCCUCCACCUGUAGCGUCCCUCUGCUAAUGCUUUAGGACAACCAGUCAGAUUGUGAUUCAGUGUGCAGUAGGCCGCUCCAAACUGUUUGCAAGAUGGAUCUUCCUCUGCACCCCAAAUCUUUAGGUUGCUUGGGGUUGGCAGCAGAUCAGCCACUGCUUGUAGGAGGAAAGACAAUUCCCCUGGUCAGUUUGCCAUAGGUCCUUCCAGGACAGUGGUUGCUCCAGUGCCUGGUCCUACUGUGUCCACCUACCUUAGGAAGCUAGCCCUAUUACUAGUGCUCUUUUGGCUCUGGCGUUGGCUUUGCUCUACCUCUUUCUGCUAUAGUUUCCAAGACCUAAGCGGCCUUGACAUACCAUGCCGACAAUCUCCUGAUGUCACUGUCUGCUGAGGCCUCCACUACCUGCCGCACUUGAUGUUCUUACUUGCAUGCCUCACUUUCCCAUCUUCAGAUAAGCAGAGUGUACUGACUGCCCUCGACUUGGCAGCUUUGAAUUCCUCAGCCACCGAUGUUACUGGUAGGGAAAGCUUUGAGGUCUUGCUGUAAAGAUUGACUGAGCUGAAAGAUGGAGGGACGCCCAGCCAUUUCAGCAAGAGCUUGCUACAGAGCCUCUCCAUCCCUUCUACUUGGGACAUGGGUAAAUCAUAGAGCAAAAAGGGCCACUGCAGUUGAGAUAUGAUUCCAUAUUGAAAACACCACACCUGGAACCUCCCCAGCUGUUGUCGAUCGCCUGAAGCCAUGUGUUAAGCUGAGCUUUGGUACUGGUGAGGUUAUUGUUGUCCCUAAGGGAGCUGUCGUAGGCCUUUCCAAUGCCCCUGAUGACUUACUCUCAAAUUCUUGGGAUGUCUGAGCCUUGGAUGCUAAAGAUGUUGUGCCGUCCUCUGCUUUCGGGCCCCUGCACUGUGAUCUUCCUACUUUGAGCAGUAGGUCUAAUGCAGCUAUGAAUACGGCCACUGAAAUCGUACAUCCUGCCAUGACGCCCUUCUAUUGUCAAGUUAUUCUUUACAAAUGUCACUUUUAAUCAAGAACAUGAUGGGAUCUGCUCCAGUUAAACAUGUCAUCAAUAUUUUUAUUCUUGUAGGCAUGAAUUGUUGAUCAUGUGUUUUGUCUAAGCUGUAGUGCAACUUUCCACCAUUAGCUAGGACUGUAGCACUGGUUAAUGACAACUGCCUCAAUGCUGUUAAUGCUCAACUCUCCAGAUGUAAACAAACACACAAGGACCAAUCACAUGGCAGAUGACAGAUGUGGUUUGCUGGUCAGACAUUAAUAUCAUCACAAAUGAUAAAGAAAGAAACGGUUUUUGAACAUCCCCAGGUUAUAGUUAAACAUUGUGUAUAAUUACGGUUUUAUGAAAAAAAGUUAAACCAAGCAGAGCUCCUUACCAUACUUAAAUAGCGAAAUAAAUGUGUAAAAAUAAUACCAGUCAACCUUUUUCAGCUUUGAUUGAAAUAUGGACUUCAGACUAAAUGAAAUGAAGAAGUAUUAUUAGGUCAUAAAGAGCCUGUUAGUAGUUGGAGUGAUGUCUUUGUUUUUCAGAAUAAUUCUCCUAUUCCAGCAUCCACAGCUGUUUUACUGACAGUCACAUGAAUGAGAGAUUUUAGUCCGGAUGUUGGAGGGUCAGUGAUGUUAACUUUCUGUCAUAAAACUUCCUCUGUACAGGGUGGUGUGUCUGAUGAAGUGACCCUCAGUGCGUACAUUAUUGCUGCCUUCCUGGAGAUGAACUCGUCUGUUAGUGUGAGUAGACUCUUAAAGGACAAACAGCUCAGGUCUUUUUCUUGUUUUUCCUAGUUUUGUAAGAGGAACUUGUCCUGCUUAUUAACUUAAAACCAUUGGAUGUACAUCCUGUAAAAACGCAGUGAGACAUAGAGUUUUGUUCACUUGUAACCUUUUUAUGUUUUUUCUUGAAUUUACAAUGAAAGUUCUUUUAAAAAAUGUAAAUCCAUUUCACGACCCUGCUCUUGAAUUGAAGAUGUGCUGGAUACAAUUUUAAUGAGUUUUCCUGAGAAUGGUAGAAAUGUUUUUUAUGGUAAAGUGUUCAAAAAAGUUGUGAAGGGCUCAGUCCUUUCAGGAAAGUGAAGAUUUUAAGGUGAUUGAUCACAGGAUCCUGUAGUGGAAAAAGGUCUGUCCUGCCUUAGAGCGUCCCUGGGUGACCUCAGCAACACCUACGCCACGGCUCUGAUGGCGUACGUCUUCACUCUGGCAGGAGACACGGACACCCGAGCUCAACUUCUGAGGCAUCUUGACACAGUUGCGAUACAUGAAGGUCGGUAACCAGCUCAAAUAAUUCCCUCUGGUAUCAUCCCUGAGCAUGUAGCUCACCCAGUGUCUGUUUCCCUGAUUGUGGCUGAUUUUAGGAGGGUACCUCCACUGGUCUCAGACAGCAACAGACACCUCGUCCUCUCUGUCUAUGGAGAUCAGCUCUUAUGUGCUGUUGGCCAAACUCAGCGUCCCUCCGUCUGUCGAAGAGCUCGGCUACUCCACCCGCAUUGUCAGAUGGCUGACCACCCAGCAGAACCAUUAUGGAGGCUUUUCCUCCACACAGGUACCACAGAAACAAAGUAAACUGGAGCAAAUAUGGGACAGAUAUGAGAGACAGAUAAUGUUCUUCAAAAUGUCUGUUUCUCUGAAAAAUGUGCUCUCUAAAGGCUCUGAUCAGGGAAUUAUCUUACUUUAAAGAUUAGACAAAAUGGAGAAUAUAUUGACCUAUAAACACUGAUCUCAGUUUGUGUUUGUGUGUGUGUUUAAAAAUAAUGGGCUAUUGUCAAUAUCUUUAUGAAUUUUGAGCAUCCUUACGUCUUUGUCAAACAGAGAGCUGCAAUCUCUCCAUCAUAAAAUAACACUUCUCCUUCAUAAUAACAUUUCUGUUUGUGUGUUUUAGGACACAGUGGUGGCUCUUCAGGCUCUGGCUCUUUAUUCCACUCGCGUGUUCAGUCCAGAGGGUUCAAGUACCGUGACUAUCCAGGCUCCCAGCGGUCAGUUGUCAUUUGGUGUAAACCCGGACAACAAACUUCUCUACCAGGAGGAGGUGCUGAAGGACGGCGAAGGAAAGUACAGCCUGGAAGUGAGAGGAACUGCAUGUGCUUCAAUGCAGGUUAGUGAACAUGCUGUUCUGUUUUUUGAGGGAGGGCUUUAGCCCAGGGGUGUGUCCACAGAAUUGGCCUAAGGUGGGCCCAAAACAUUGUAUUUGGCCACCCCUGAACCUUCACCUAAUUUCUAGUUAGAAUCGUAGAAAUCUGUGAAGUUAUCAAGAAAACAUGUUUUUUGGACAUUUUUAUUGUUUAUAUAUUGAAGAGCACUGUGUUUUCUAAUAUUUCUUAUGUGAUACACAAGCGCAUGUGAUUUUCACAGAUGAUUGCUUUGUUGGCUGUAUUGUUGCUGGGGUUUUUUUUAUGUUUUAGAUUUUUAACAUGUGCCAAAAAUGCAAAUGUGGUAAAAAGCUUCUCAUGCUCAGAGUUCACUGGUUUGAGAGGACAGGGUUUGGCUAUUUAUCUUCAUAUUGAUAAAGGAAAUGCCCUGAUCUGUUUAUCAGAUUUCUCUUCACUACAACAUCCCAACUCCUACUGCUGGCACCACGCUCAGAGUGGAGGUCAAACCAGAAGCCAAAUGUGACAGCUCCUCUAACAGACGCAGGCUGACCCUGAAAACCAAAACACUGUGAGUUUAAACACUGGCUCAAAUCUGGCCUUACUGUCAUCUUCCUGUUACACCGUCUCUCAUUGUUAGGGCUCUAUUUUGGUGCCUCGCCGGAGACGUGCCGCAAGCGCAGAGUCAAUCAGAUCCGCCGCGCUGACAAGGCGUUCCCAAGCACAUUUUGGUAUUUUGGUGAGCCGCGCAGCCCGGCGUAAGUAUCCCCCCUCCCUAACUCAGCUCCUCCCGGCAGCAUAAAUCAUAGAAGGGGAGGAGAGAGGGCUUAUAGGGGUUUAACACAGCCGAGACCUGUUUUCACCAAUCACAUAAGCUCCUCUCCUCGCCUUUAAAUCCGCCACCGGCGAGGCGUAUUACUAUUUUCAUUAAGUAGUCAAAGAGAUCAAGAGAUGUCUGAAGACAGCUAUGCCACACGAUGGCGACAGAGGGCAGCUGCUCAACAAGUGUCCUCCCCACUCUCUCAUCUGAGCACAGAUAGAUUUGGUGUGCGUAAUGUUGGACCCACUGGUAAGACAAUCACCCUUUUCCACAAAUAAAGACACUCUCAUAAAGUUGCUCAUAUUCAAACCUCACGUGACAAAGGUGGGUUUAGCGCACAGAUCACAACAUAAACUCCAAAAAGGCAUUAAAAUCGGAACCAUCUGUGCGUAAAUGACGCAUCGCGCUCCGUGGCCUGGCUCUUUCUUUCAUAGAUGUUGGCAUAUAAAAUAAAUUUGGCCCACAAAACUGAAUAUUAUAAUAUCCGAAUGUCGGCUUAAAGUAGAUAACGCAACUGAGCACUGAAACAAAUCAUCUGUUCAGCCGCAGCAGCAAGCAAGACGGACAGAGGACACGGAGACGUGUCCAGGUCGAGCUGUGCGAGAAAUAAGAGGAAGAAAGAAAAGGAGGGAGACACAUUAAAUAUCUUGUUAACUUCAUCAUGUGUGUUUAUUUACUAGAUAUUUAAUUUAAUUUGAUGCAGUUUCAGCUGUAUUGAUUCGGUCAGGUUGUGUGCCCAAACGCGUGCCAAACGCGUGCCAAACGCGCUCAUCAGAUCAGAUAUAGAUCAGAAUAUAUCUAUAUAGAUCUAAAUGUAUGUGCUGACUCAGAUUAAUAGUUGUUGAUGAUUAUUUAUUGCACUGAAAUGUGCCUGACACUGUGGAAACCUGCCGGUGAGGCAUCAGUGACGUAUGUCGAUACGCCGCCGGUCUACCAAAAUACUACAAGACCAGCUGCGUUCCGCCUUGCGCUGAAAGCUGACCAGGUUUGAAUCGGCGAGCUUUCAGCGCACGUUACACGCCGGUGGCGAGCACGAAAAUGUCACUGCGCCAGCUGAUUCUGUCAACACCUCCCCCUGCCACGCCACCACGCCCAGCUUGGCGGAUCUCGGCUCGCCUCCGUGCGACUCAGUCCACGAAAAUACCAAACUCGCCUUACGCUGGGCUCCGCCAGACGAAAUACAACUGCGCGGGGCUCGCCGCCUCACCGGCGCGAACGAAAAUAGAGCCCCCCGUGUUCUGUGAUGCACCUGCACUGCAUAUGGUGACGGUACUGUCAAACAUGGCAUCUUACUCCUUUUUAUGGCAACAGAUUAAAAUUAAACUGGUUAGUAAAACUCAACAGAAGCAUUGCAUUAUCUAUGUGGGCAUUGUCAGUGAGUUGUUAACAGUUAUAACACAUAAAAAUACUUGGCCUUGUAAGUUAUGAUAAAAUGCUUUAUAAUUUGUUAUUAUUAGUGCUAUAAAGCAUUAUGAUCAUUUAUGAGUGUUUAUAACUAUAGUAAUACAGUGCCAUAACGUGAUUAUAAUGCACUAUACAUAUAUUUAUAAUGCACUACAAAGAUAGGUGUCAAAUAAAGUGUUAACAAACUGAACACUAAAAAAUAAGUAAGCAUGACAAGAACUAGUAAGCACAGAAACAGAAAUCAUGCUUGAGAAAAAUGUAUUUCACGUACAGUCUGAUUGUGAAGUUUGCAGGCUUUAUGACUUAUAGUUACUUUAAUUCACUUUUAUGUCAUGAUACACAUCAAAGAAAGUUGUACUUUAUAUCAGCAUUCAUGGACUGACUGCUGUAUAAAGGCACAUGUAAUAGCAAAAGAAAGUAAAAUUGAGAAAAGGAGGUGUUAUCAGUAACUUACUUUUGAUGUUUUACUACAGAUACUUUGGUGAAGAGAGGACUACAAACAUGGUGAUUGUGGAUCUCAAAAUGCUCUCUGGGUUUGUCCCAGACCCCGAGUCUUUGAAGAAGGUAGACUUUUUUGAAACAGCAAUCUCAAACCUGAUCAUUCAUUAUUGUCCUGAUGAAGCUGAUGUUAAUCCAGCUGACUGCUGUCUCCACACAGCUCAAACGAGCCCUGCUGGUGGACCGUGUCGAGGAAAAGAAAGAUCAUGUUGUGGUGUAUCUUAAUGAGGUGAGAGGAAUCACAGUGAGUAAAAAGGACAGUACUCAGAUGUGCAGAUUUUUUGCUAAUAACAUUAUCUUUUUGUCUGUCAUCAGUUACCAAAGGACGUAUCCAUCAGUCAUGAGUUAGAGCUCAUACAGGAGCUCCCAGUGCAGAACCUGAAGCCCGCUGUCGUCCGGAUCUAUGAUUACUACCAGCCAAGUAAAUGAGCUGUACUUUAUACACACUUGGGGCUCAAUUUUCGUGUACACCAGGGACGCGGCAGAGGGUGGCGGACCCCGCGCAGUUGUAUUUUCGUCUGGCGGAGCCCGGCGUACAGCCAGUUUGGUAUUUUCGUGGCCUGAGGCGCCACGUGGUGGCGUGGCAGGGGGAGGUGUCGACAGAAUCAGUGGGCGCAGUGACAUUUCCCUUCUCCACCAGCGUAUAAAGUGUGCUGAAAGCUCGCCGAUUCAAACUUGGUCAGCUUUCAGCGCAGGCAGAGCGCAGCUGGUCGAGUAGUAUUUUGGUAGACCGGCGGCGUAGAUGGUAGAUCCGCAUACGUCACCGAUGCCUCACCGGCAGGUUUCCACAGUGUCAGGCACAUUUCAGUGCAAUAAAUAAUCAUCAGCAACUAUUAAUCUGAGUCAGCACAUACAUUUAGAUCUAUAUAGAUAUAUACUGAUCACUUAUCUGAUGAGCGCGUUUGGCACGCGUUUGGACACACAACCUGACCGAAUUAACACAGCUGAAACCGCAUUAAAUUAAAUUAAAUAUCUAGUAAAUAGACACACAUGAUGAAGUGAACAAGAUAUGUAAUAUGUCUCCCUCCUUUUCUUUCUUCCUCUUCCUCUUAUUUCCCGUGAAGCUUGACCUGGACAUGUUUCUGUGUCCUCUCCCCGUCCUGCUGCAGCGGCUGAGCAGAUGAUUUGUUUCAGUGAUCAGAUGAGUUAUUUACUUUAAGCCGACAUAUGGAUAUUAUAAUAUUCAGUUUUGUGAGCCAAAUUUAUUUUAUAUGCCAACAUCUAUGAAAGAAAGAGCCAGGCCACGGAGCGCGAUGCGUCAUUUACACACAGAUGGUUCCAAUUUUAAUGCCAUUUUUGGGAUUUAUGUUGUGAUUUGUGUGCACAACCCACCUUUGUCACGUGAGGUUUGAAUAUGUGCAACUUUAUGUGAGUGUCUUUAUUUGUGGAAAGGGUAUUUCUCUUACCAGUGGGUCCAAACUGACACACACCAAAUCCAUCUGUGCUCAUAUGAGAGAGUGUGGAGGACGCCCAAUGCAGCGCUUACAGUGACACUUGUUGAGGGGCUGCCUCCUGUUGCCAUCAUGUGGCAUAACUGUCUUCAGACAUCUCUUGAUCUCUUUGACUACUUCACGAAAAUAGUAAUAUGCCUCGCUGGUGUCGGAUUUAAAGGUGAGGAGAGGAGUUGAUGCUAUUGGUCAAUACAGGUCUCGGCUGUGUUAAACCCACUCCACGCCCUCUCUCCUCCCUCCCUACAACUUACGCCGCUGGGAGGAGCUGAGUUAGGGAGGAGGGAUACAUACGUGGGGCUGCGCCGCUCACCAAAAUACCAAAUUGUGCUUGGGACGCCUUGUCGGCGCGGCAGACCUGACUUGCGCCCCGCAUGUGCUGUGUCGCCAGCGAGGCACGAAAAUAGAGCCCUUGGUGUUUGAUAUCAAAUCCUAAAACUCAAAGUUAUGUCUCAGAUGUUCAGCGCCAGGAUGGAAAACAUCACGUAUUAUCGCUUUAGUUUGAGGAAGGAAAGUAACGAAGUAAAGAAUUGUGCAGCUUUUUCGCCCACUUAACUGAUGCAAAUGAGCAAAUACAAUACCAUACUUUACAAAGCACUCACUCACACCUAAAAACUGCACUUCAGAGCAGAUAGCAUCUCUGUUAUUAUGGGAUCAUUUUAAGGCAAAAUGUGCCUCUUUUUGUACUUUGCAAAGCUUUCUUAUUUACAAACAGCAGUACUCAUUUCUGUUUAGUUUCUGGUCUCCCUCCUCCUCUAAUUUGACUUUUCCUUUUUUUCUCUUCUAGAUGACCAGGCUGAAACCCAGUACACCUAUCCCUGUGCAGGUAAUAGUCCACGACAGGGUUGAUUACUUCACAAAUAUCUUUAAAACAGCAUAAUAGGUUUGGUGUUUUUCUCAAAGACCCCUGUUUAAUUUAGGAUUGAGAAGAAAGGGGACCUUUGUGUUCUGAAAGGCAGAAAUAGUAAUCAAAAGACUCUAGGGACUUACUUGUCCCAGAGCAUUUUAUUGUAACCUUGAAUCAGUGGUGUAGUCUAGAUGAUAUGCAGGUAAAGGCUAUGGCACAUACUAGAAAAGUACGCAAAUUUCCAUAUACCUACUUGAAAAUGUGCAAAGACAUGUAACAACCAGAGUUCUGACCACAACUUCACAGCUGUUCACAGGGUUACCCUUUUCAAUUUGAUAAUGCCCUUAACUGAAGAAAUUUUGAAGGACCUGACAUUCAUAACUUUUGGUCAUAUCGCAGAAACUUUUGAUCCAGCACGUUCCUGAAUUAAAGCUGGUCUUCGUUUCUAAAGUGACAGAGCAACGAAUAGAAGUCAAGCCUGUAUGUUUUAAGGUCAGAAAAAUGUAUUAAUCUAUUAUGCUGUGUUGGAUGAGUCGCGGUUCACCUGCGUUGCUGAGGAUUGACAUGUGUAUCAAAGUCCUAUUAUUAGUGUUAUUGUUAUGUAUUACCUGAUGCAGUUUCAUGCCCAGAUUCCACACUUUGUGAAAAUAGCAGGUGAUUGUGGCGUGUGGUGUCUUUUGUGGACCCAGAAGCAGACACGGAGACAGAUUGUAAAUUAAAGAUGUAGUUCUAAUGUCCAACUUAAGGGAAAAGGCACAAGAAAAAGUCCGGUUGGCUGGCUGGCUGUUGUGUGGGCUGGAGACACUGUGGAGAAAACAGAGGAGAUGGAAGUGAGAAGGCAUACAAGGAAUUACAUGGAGCAAAAAUUACUAGCACUUCGCCGAGGAGAAGGCCGGGAGAAGCGUCUGUACCACUGAGGAGUGAAGACAAUACUCAGGCACUGAGACUGAGGGCUGCUGGCUUCUUAAAAGGGCCUUGAUUGCAGAUGCAGUGCAGGUGUGGAGUCCCACUCAGCCUCAGCGACCAGGGGACGGGAAAGUGCACUGAAACAACAGUCAAGCCAGACCAGGAACACAAGGAAAAUGGGAAGUUAAACCAAAAUAAAACAGGAAGAAGAGGCAUCUCACUACAGUACCCCCCUCUCAACGAACGCCCCUUGGUGUUCUGCCGGGUUUGUUGGGGUGAGCGGCGUAAAAGUUGUUGAGGAGUUGAUGGUCCAGGAUGAGGGAGCAGGAGAUCCAGGACCGCUCCUCCGGACCGUAACCCUCCCAAUCCACGAGGUAUGGAAGCCUUGUCCUUGAGGCCGCAUGUCUAGGAUUUGUCUCACAGUGAAGGCAGGGUGGUCGUCAAUCAUCCAGGGCGGUGGAGGGUUGCGGAAAGAGGGCUCAGGGUGCACGAGGUGACAGGCUUGAUCAGGGAGACAUGAAACGCGGGGUGAAUUUUGAGAGCUGAGGGAAGUUUGAGUCGUACCGCCGAGGGGCUAAUAAUCUCCUGGAUUGGGAAGGGACCAAUGAAGCGGGGAGACAGCUUGCGGGACUCGGUCUGCAGGGGAAGGUCACGGGAUGAUAACCAGACCAUCUGACCUGGACGAUAGUCUGGUGCAGGGGAGCGAUGGACGUCAGCCAGGCGUUUGUUGCGCUCGGCCGUCCGGGUGAGUGCGGCCUCGGCGGAUCCCCACACCUCCCGUUGGCGCCCAAUGUGCUCCCUCACUGACAGGACAGCACCCGGUUGCUCCUGUUCGGUAAACGGGGGGGCUGGUACCUUUAACAGAACAUGAAGGGAGACAUACCUGUGGCCGAGGAGGUGAGGGAGUUAUGGGCGUACUAGAUCCGUGGGAGGUGUGUACUCCAGGAUGCUGGAUGAUGGGCCACAACACACCGCGAAGUCGACUCGAGGUUUUGAUUGGCCCACUCCGUCUGGCCAUUGGUCUGCGGUUGGUAGCCUGAGUAGAGGCUAGCUGCCGCGCCCACCGCCUGGCAGAAAGCUUUCCAGACCUGGGAGGAGAACUGGGGACCACAAUCCGACACUAUGUCAAGGGGGAUACCAUGAAGUUGGAACACAUGAGACACUAUGAGAUUAGCAGUUUCUAGAGCAGAGGGGAGCUUGGGUAGCGGGACAGAAUGCACGAACUUGGAAAUCCUGUCUAUGAUGGUGAGUAGAACUGUGUUACCUUCAGAAGGGGGGAGACCAGUGACGAAAUCUAGAGCUAUAUGAGACCAAGGGUGUGAGGGCACAAGCAGAGGAUGCAGCAAGCCAGCUGGGGGUUGGUGGGAGGCUUUGCCUCAGACGGAGCAGGCAGCCACAAACACCUGUAUGUCCCGGACCAUCCCCGGCCACCAGAACUGCUGCUAAAGGAAUUGGAGGGUGCGUUGAAAUCCGGGAUGACAGGUGAGUUAAGAGGAGUGCCCCCACUGUAGGACCUGAGAAUGUACAACCUCAGGGACGUACUUCCUAUCAGGAGGGCCAGUUCCAGGGUCCGGGUGCUUCCGUAGGGCCUUGUCCACUACGGUGUCGAUCUCCCAAGAGGCGAUGAUACAGGAGGCAGGGAGGAUGGUGUCCAGUUCUCUGGGGUCCAAGGUAGCAGAGGAGUAGAUUCGGGAUAGGGCAUCAGGUUUGAGGUUGCGGGAGUCGGGAGUCGGGACGAUAGGAGAGGGUAAAGGUGAAUCUGUGGAGGAAGAGGGACCAGCGGGCUUGUCUGGAGUUGAGGCGUCAAGCGGAACGGAGGUACUGAAGGUUCUUGAGGUCAGUCCAGAUGAGGAAUGGGUGUUGUGCUUCUUCCAGCCAGUGUCUCUAUUCUUGGAGUGCCCACACAACAACCAGCAACUCACGGUCUUCAACAUCAUAUUUUCGUUUGGUGGGUGAGAAUUUCCGGGAAAAGUAGGCACAAGGAUGGAGCAUCUGGGUCUCGGGAUCCCCCUGUGAGAGGACGACCCCCACUCCAGAGUCCGAGGCGUCGACCUCCACCACGAAUUGGAGAGAGGGAUCUGGGUGUUUGAGCACAGGGGCGGAGCGGAGGCAAUGAGAGUGGCAGUGAGGACUCCAGGCGGAGAUUGAAGCUGUGGACCAGUUGAUUUGGGGAUUAUGGAUCUGCAGCCACGGGAGUCCAAGAGGGAAGCAGGAACAACUGGAUAUCCUCAUGAUGGUUUCCCGAAAGGAUGAGAGUGAGAGGAGUAGUGCAGUGGGUUAUGGUGGCUAUAACUCUGCCAUCGAGAGCGGUGACCUUACGGGUGAGGGCGCCAGAGCCAGAGGAGCUGAGGGCUGCAGAGGAGACCCGCUGAAAGUGGAGGAUGAGGAAUCUAAACUAUGGGGAGGAGUGUUUAGUUUCUUCUCCCUACGUCUCUCCCUGAGGCGAUUAUCCACAUGUAUGGCUAAUGAAAUUAACUCCUCAAGUGAGGAUGGAUCAUCACGAGCAGCUAAUUCGUCCUUUAACUGUUUGGACAGACCACGAGAAAAUGCACCCUUUAAUUCUAGUUCCCCCAACCCACUCUCGGCCCACUUCCACUCUGUGCAGAACUCAAUAGAGAAUUCCGCCACAGACCGAGAGAUUGACAUUGUAGGCUAUUUUGGAUUUAUCCGAGGGGUAACUAAUAGGCUGCUGAUCAAAGACAAGGGCACAGUGGAGCAGGAAACCUCUGCAGCCCCCAAUCUCCCCAGCAUACGGCUCGGGAUGAGGGACAUAAGGCUCUUUGAAGACAGGAGAGGGUGAAGUGGGGGCCAUACUCACAGAGGGGGAAGACCCAGACUGCUUCGGGGGGAGCCGGGAGAGGAGUUGAUCCGCCAGUUGCGUUACUUGAACGGUGAGGCCUUGAAAGGCUUGGUUGAGGCCCUGGAGCAUGUCCUCAUGUUGACCGAGGCGAAGUCUGAGCUUUUGGAUGGCUUGUUGGUCUCUGUCUGGGUCUGCUGGGUCCAUUUUCCUGGCCCGAGUAUUCUGUGGCGUGUGGUGUCUUUUGUGGACUCAGAAGCAGACACAGAGACAGAUAGUAAAUUAAAGAUGUAAUUUUAAUGUCCAACUUAAGGGAAAAGGCACAAGAAAAAGUCCGGUUGGCUGGCUGGCUGUUGUGUGGGCUGGAGACACUGGAGAAAACAGAGGAGAUGGAAGUGAGAAGGCAUACAUUACUAGUACUUAGCCGAGGAGAAGGCCGGGAGAAGCGUCUGUACCACUGAGGAGUGAAAACAAUACUCAGGCACUGAGACUGAGGGUUGCUGGCUUCUUAAAGGGCCUUGAUUGCAGAUGCAGUGCAGGUGUGGAGUCUCACUUAGCCUCAGCGACCGGGUAAAGGGAAAGUGCACUGAAAGAACAGUCAAACCAGACCAGGAACACAAGGAAAAUGGGAAGUUAAACCAAAAUAAAACAGGAAGAAGAGGCGUCUCACCACAGUGAUCUUCCACUUACAUUAGUGUCCAUGGAUGUGGUGGUGGCAUGCAAAGGCGCAUUGCUACCUGGAGAAAGUGUCUGCGUCUCAGGUAGAAGGUUAGGAUGUAUUUUCCUGAUCUUCAGGGGGCAUUCCUAUUAGUGAGAGGGUUAAAGGGGCAUUAGCUGACAGUGUGCUUUGUCUUUUACGCACAGAGCCGCACAGCCGAGCCUUCAUGAUAAAAAGUCUGUGUUUUUGCUGAUAUGGUGAAAUUGAGUUCUUUAUUUGGUCAGAGGGCUUGGAGAUACAUUUCCUUGUCUCUGUACAUCACAACUAUACUGUUCACUGCUUUGUCCUCAUAAUCUUAGCCCUGCUGGGCUCCAAAUCCGCAGCCUGAGAGGUUACCAAGCCUUUAGCGUCCUCUCUCAGUUGACCUUGUUGUGUGCUUAUUAAACAGGAAAACAGGAAAACAUGGUCAGUUACCCUUGCAUACACUGCAUCUUACGCUUAAGACCCUGCUGUCUGGUUUGUUGGAAUAAGGUUCAUAUUCUGCAUAUGAUGGUUUGUGAUGUGUGCUGGCAAACUUUCUGCUGUUGCAACCACAUAUUGGCUCAGUGGUUGCUGGAGUGCUCUCCUUGUAAAUAAUAUUAGCCUUGGUAAUAUGUGUGUAGAUGCAGUAGUUAUAACUGUCUGUUGAAUCAAGAUGCCUCGUGGAUCCCCACCAGGUAUUUUGAUUACUGUUGUAAGGUGUAUCCAAUAAUCACCAUUGAUCUCUGUUAUUAAUUGGAGACAUUUACUUUAAUAAAACCAUUGACAGAGUUGAACAGUGCUCAGGUUUUGUUUGCCUUUCGUGCAUUUUUAUCAUUAUUGAUUUUAUUAUAUAUUUUUUGUGCAUAGAACACAACUGGUCUUUCAGAAUGUCCCCAAAUAUCUGGUAGGGGUUUCCAAGAUGGAGGGGAGUGUAUCAACUACAAAAAAACUAGACUACACCACUGCCUUAAAUAGACCCUUUUGCAUAUGUUCUCAGAAACUUCAAAAGAAAGUCCUAAUCUCUCUGUAAUUUGUAUUAAACACACUUUAAUCAGGUGGUCUUCCCUUUUUUAUGACAUCAACCAGUCUUCUUCAUUUCAUGGCUAUCAGCUGGACAAUCUAGACAACAUAUAAUAUUUUGUCAAUUUCUGUCUAAAUAAAUUGGAACCAAAAAAUUACCACUUUAAAAUAAAAAUUAAUGAAUGAAUGCAUGCUCUAACAUGUUUUUUUCCUCUUGUUUACAGCUUAAACACCUGUGUGUUUUCUUGAUGGUCCCAGGAAGAUUCAAAUAAACUUCCAUUUUGUUCAAAGUCA